rnacentral:rRNA from 1 species
UACGUAGGGACCGAGCGUUGUCCGGAAUCAUUGGGCGUAAAGAGCGUGUAGGCGGCCACUUAAGUCCUGCGUGAAAUCCCUCGGCUUAACCGGGGAACUGCGUCUGAUACUGGAUGGCUCGAGUUUGGGAGAGGGAUGCGGAAUUCCAGGUGUAGCGGUGAAAUGCGUAGAUAUCUGGAGGAACACCGGUGGCGAAGGCGGCAUCCUGGACCAACACUGACGCUGAUGAGCGAAAGCCAGGGGAGCAAACGGG